CAACAGCGUGCAGUCCUGCUUCCCCACCUUCUGGGGUCUGAAGGUCCAAGUCGGCUUCUCCUGGCUCAGCUCACACCCUGCGAAGGGAGACGGAGGGCGGAAGGCGUGGCGUGGCGUGCGGCGGGCAGGCUCCAGGGAGGCGCGCCUGUCUCCCUCCAGCCCUAACCGCCCCCCACCCCGGUGACGCACCCCCAGCCCCCCCGGGUGCUCCGAGAACAGCCUGGAGCCUCACUCACCCCAGAGCAAGGCCAGUGUCGCCUUUUCGGAGGUGCUGCUAGUGCGGCUGAGAUUCAUGAUGCGGGGCGGGGGCCGAGCAGCUGCGAGGAAGGGCGCGUUACAACCCCCGGCCGACAAGGCAGCCCACACCCGAGCUGGGGACACCCAGGCGGAGCGCUCCGCCAAAGGACGGUGCUUAGAUCGCCCAGAGCGGGAGAGGUGCCCAGGUGAGGUGGACGCUGCUGCAGGACCGCACCGUGAGAACCACGGUCCUGACCAAUAGGGACUGACUGAGGCCUGCUGCCGGGGCCCGCCCAGCACCCAGCGUGGAGAAGCUUUGCUACCAGCUUCAGCUCCUGCCAGAGAGCUUCCAGCCUGCUCUUCCUGACAACCUGUCCUACCGAUCUCAUACUUGCCUAGCCACCUCUCAUGAUUGCAUUAGCCAAUUCCUUGUGCUACAUCCCUGACUGAUAACACCUGUUGAUGGACAUUUGGGUAGUUUCCAGUUGUGGACUAUUAUGAAUAAAAAUCCUAUGAACAUUUGAGAGCAAGUCUUUGCAUGGAUAUAUGUUUUAGUUUUUCUAGGAUAAAUACCUAGGAGUGGAAUUGCUGGAUCAUUUGGUGUGCAUUAAACUUUAUGUGAAACUGUAAAACUAUUUUAAAAAUUCCUGUACCAGUUUGCACUUCUGCCAGAAAUGUAUGAAAAUUCCAGUUGCUCUACAUCUUUGUCAGCACUUGGCAUUGUCAGUCUUCUUAAUUUUAGCCAUUCUAGUGGAUGUAUAUAGUGAC